UACGUAGGGAGCAAGCGUUGUCCGGAAUUACUGGGCGUAAAGGGCGCGUAGGUGGGCGCUUAAGUCAGGUGUGAAAACUCCGGGCUCAACCUGGAGACUGCAGUUGAAACUGGCAGUCUUGAGUACAGUAGAGGUGGGCGGAAUUCGUGGUGUAGCGGUGAAAUGCUUAGAUAUCACGAAGAACUCCGAUUGCGAAGGCAGCUCACUAGACUGCAACUGACACUGAUGCUCGAAAGUGUGGGUAUCAAACAGG
rnacentral:rRNA from 1 species